rnacentral:sRNA from 1 species
GUCCAGAUAGCGGCGGACCAAAACCAAAAGCCUGUCAAAGCAACGGCGACAGCCGGUCCCAUGCGGGUUGCGAGGCCCAUGAGCCCGGCUGU